UACGAAGGGGGCUAGCGUUGUUCGGAAUUACUGGGCGUAAAGCGCGCGCAGGCGGUCUUCCAAGUCAGGGGUGAAAGCCUGGAGCUCAACUCCAGAACUGCCAUUGAAACUGUUAGACUUGAGUACGAGAGAGGUGAGUGGAAUUCCCAGUGUAGAGGUGAAAUUCGUAGAUAUUGGGAAGAACACCAGUGGCGAAGGCGGCUCACUGGCUCGUAACUGACGCUCAGGCGCGACAGCGUGGGGAUCAAACAGG
rnacentral:rRNA from 1 species